rnacentral:rRNA from 1 species
AGCUCCAAUAGCGUAUAUUAAAGUUGUUGCAGUUAAAAAGCUCGUAGUUGGACUUUAGGCAGUGAUGUGUGGAGCCGAUUCGUCGGCCUCUGCAUUGUCCUGCCUCACCCGCGGGGACCGGUCAGGUUAACGCUUGGCCGUGAUCCGCAACUUACUUUGAGGAAAUUAGAGUGUUCAAAGCAGGCUAACGCUUGAAUACUUCAGCAUGGAAUAACAAGAUAGGACUUUGGUUCUAUUUUGUUGGUUUGAGGACCAAAGUAAUGAUUAAUAGGGACAGUUGGGGGCAUUAGUAUUCAGUAGUCAGAGGUGAAAUUCUUGGAUUUACUGAAGACUAACUAAUGCGAAAGCAUUUGCCAAGGAUGUUUUCA